ACCAUUGCGAGUGAAGGCCAUUCCCAUACUAUAAGGGUUAUGGGAGGUCAAUAUAAUGAUAGUUGUGGUGGUGGCUUCGACUUCAGCAGUUGCCAAAGAGGAUGCCAUGUGUAUGUGGGGAGAUGUGGUUGCCAAAUUAAAUAAAUUCUGUCGGCAUGUCGUGUCAUGUAACUGGUUAAUUUACAAUAGUGGUGUUAUCAUCAAUGACAUGUAUGACAUAAAUAUCAAACGACCUUGAAAUCAUGAGAGACCCUUGAAGGUCAUUUAAUUGACCUAGAAUAUACAAGGUAUAUUGCCAUUUCCUUGAAUGACCACACUCCAUUGAGGCAUGACCCAUGGAGAUCGUGGAUGACUAUAGAAUAUGAACUGCAAG
rnacentral:misc_RNA from 1 species